CCCCAACACCACGAAGUGCAAAUACUUUGAUCUUUAUCAACAACUAGCAUGUGCAUGAGGGCUGUGAUCUUUCAGCAUUGUGAGGAUAAGAAAAUCUCUAUCUCUUGGAAUUCAUCAUAGAGAUGACAUAAGGUGCCAAAUAGGUCUGUGGAUGGGAAUUCCCAUCUGAAAUGGAAUGAAGGUUGAAGCCAACCAGAGAGGAUGCCUGUCAGCUGGAGAGGUGCGGAGGCCUCAGGCCAUGUCUUGUUAAAUUGGUUCUCCAUCUAUUACCAUGGGGCCCGAUUUUCGUUACCUGUUAACGGUGUAUAUGAAAGACUGUAUGUUAAUUCUGUGACUAACAGAGCCAAUGGCUUCAUAAUUAACUAGCCAGGGGGUGAGCCUUAAUUUAAUUCCUGUGCAAAAAACACUACAGGCAAAACACUCUAACGAGUGUUUAAAAACACCAAUUAUGAAAUGUAAAUUCUGUUCCCACCUCUGGGCCUUGAUUAACUAUUAUGUCAUAAGAUGUCUUUGCCAAUAGAAUACAAGUCCAUAGGUGAAUGUCACAUAAAUACUUUAUCAUUUCUGCUGGUCUGACAAUAAACAAUUUGUGCCAACAAGACUCAUAUGAAAGACAUGUAAUUUCUGAAAAAAAGUCUAAAUUUCAGUUGUUUCUUUUCUUUGAGGGAGAUGAUGUACACCACUCAUG